UAGAAGCUCAACAUAAACGAGUAAAUAUGAGGAAAAACGUCUCAGUGGCUCAAAUUUAUUCCAUUUUCGUCAGAUUUCCUGUAAUUGAUCAGAUUACUGCGCUCAUUUUUUUACAUCCUGGAGUUUGGUCUCUACUUUGCUGUUUGACAUUUGAAGCUGUUCGGUUCGGUUUUCCUUCAGGUUCUGUUUGUAGACAUUAACAUGUUGGGUUUUAUUUUCGGUUUUCUCACUGAGGAUGAAGCUGAAAUCUAUGGAGACUCCCAGCAGAUGUUUCCGUGGUCGGGUUCUGUUGGUUCUCUGCGACCACUACAGAGGAACCGCAGCGUACACAGAACCGGGACGGCAGGCAGAACUACUGGGAAAACUACUUCAUAGACGUAAUCUCAGCCUGCUGAUGGUUUUGUUGAGGAAACAGCAGCUCCAGUUCCAGCCUGCUCAUUGGUUGGGUUCUGAUCUAAAACCAGUCUGGGCGGCUCGUCUCUGGGUGUGACCCAC